GCCUGGGUGGCUCAGUCGGUUGAGUGUCUGACUUAGUCUCAGAUCAUGAUCUCACCGUUUGCAGGUUCAAGUCCCACCUCUGGGA
rnacentral:tRNA from 1 species